GAAGUCAUAGCUCAGUUGGUUAGAGCAUGGUGUUAAUAACACCACGGUUGCAAGUUUGAUUCCCGUUCAAUCCC
rnacentral:tRNA from 1 species